rfam:Agrilus planipennis Contig3307, whole genome shotgun sequence.
AAAUAGUAAUAAUUUUAGUAUCCCUUUAGUGCUGUGUCGGUGCUUUUCUAGUAUAAAUGCGUCGCUCUUUCGGUGGUAUUUCAUUGGGAGUAACAGCCUUGGGGUUGAAAUCCCAUCUCGAGGAGAGGUUUUAGUCGGUAGGCGCUACGGCGAAUCCGACACUACCCCCCUUCAGGGGGUGUAUUUUAAAGAUUUCCCCUCCUCGAGGCUA